GUACAAGCAGUGGGAGCACAGGUUUACCUGUGUGACUGCGUACCUUUUGUAUAAUGGGUCAGCGACUUAUAUUCUGUAGCAAGGUUAACCGUAUAGGGGAGCCGGAGGGAAACCGAGUCUUAAUUGGGCGUUAAGUUGCAGGGUAUAGACCCGAAACCCGGUGAUCUAGCCAUGGGCAGGUUGAAGGUUGGGUAACACUAACUGGAGGACCGAACCGACUAAUGUUGAAAAAUUAGCGGAUGACCUGUGGCUGGGGGUGAAAGGCCAAUCAAACCGGGAGAUAGCUGGUUCUCCCCGAAAGCUAUUUAGGUAGCGCCUCGUGAAUUCAUCUCCGGGGGUAGAGCACUGUUUCGGCUAGGGGGCCAUCCCGGCUUACCAACCCGAUGCAAACUGCGAAUACCGGAGAAUGUUAUCACGGGAGACACACGGCGGGUGCUAACGUCCGUCGUGAAGAGGGAAACAACCCAGACCGCCAGCUAAGGUCCCAAAGUCAUGGUUAAGUGGGAAACGAUGUGGGAAGGCCCAGACAGCCAGGAUGUUGGCUUAGAAGCAGCCAUCAUUUAAAGAAAGCGUAAUAGCUCACUGGUCGAGUCGGCCUGCGCGGAAGAUGUAACGGGGCUAAACCAUGCACCGAAGCUGCGGCAGCGAACGUAUCACCCAAGACAACUUUACGGAGUUGACGAUUGACGGAGCGAAGCGACGUCAAAGCGUUCAUUAAAGUCGAGUUGGCUUAGGGAUACGUUCGUUGGGUAGGGGAGCGUUCUGUAAGCCUGUGAAGGUGUGUCGUGAGGCAUGCUGGAGGUAUCAGAAGUGCGAAUGCUGACAUAAGUAACGAUAAAGCGGGUGAAAAGCCCGCUCGCCGGAAGACCAAGGGUUCCUGUCCAACGUUAAUCGGGGCAGGGUGAGUCGACCCCUAAGGCGAGGCCGAAAGGCGUAGUCGAUGGGAAACGGGUUAAUAUUCCCGUACUUGGUGUUACUGCGAAGGGGGGACGGAGAAGGCUAUGUUGGCCGGGCGACGGUUGUCCCGGUUUAAGCGUGUAGGUGUGUGUUCCAGGUAAAUCCGGUUCACUUUAACACUGAGGCGUGACGACGAGGCACUACGGUGCUGAAGCAACAAAUGCCCUGCUUCCAGGAAAAGCCUCUAAGCAUCAGGUAACAUCAAAUCGUACCCCAAACCGACACAGGUGGUCAGGUAGAGAAUACCAAGGCGCUUGAGAGAACUCGGGUGAAGGAACUAGGCAAAAUGGUGCCGUAACUUCGGGAGAAGGCACGCUGACACGUAGGUGAAGUGAUUUACUCAUGGAGCUGAAGUCAGUCGAAGAUACCAGCUGGCUGCAACUGUUUAUUAAAAACACAGCACUGUGCAAACACGAAAGUGGACGUAUACGGUGUGACGCCUGCCCGGUGCCGGAAGGUUAAUUGAUGGGGUCAGCGCAAGCGAAGCUCCUGAUCGAAGCCCCGGUAAACGGCGGCCGUAACUAUAACGGUCCUAAGGUAGCGAAAUUCCUUGUCGGGUAAGUUCCGACCUGCACGAAUGGCGUAAUGAUGGCCAGGCUGUCUCCACCCGAGACUCAGUGAAAUUGAACUCGCUGUGAAGAUGCAGUGUACCCGCGGCAAGACGGAAAGACCCCGUGAACCUUUACUAUAGCUUGACACUGAACAUUGAGCCUUGAUGUGUAGGAUAGGUGGGAGGCUUUGAAGUGUGGACGCCAGUCUGCAUGGAGCCGACCUUGAAAUACCACCCUUUAAUGUUUGAUGUUCUAACGUGGACCCGUAAUCCGGGUUGCGGACAGUGUCUGGUGGGUAGUUUGACUGGGGCGGUCUCCUCCUAAAGAGUAACGGAGGAGCACGAAGGUUGGCUAAUCCUGGUCGGACAUCAGGAGGUUAGUGCAAUGGCAUAAGCCAGCUUGACUGCGAGCGUGACGGCGCGAGCAGGUGCGAAAGCAGGUCAUAGUGAUCCGGUGGUUCUGAAUGGAAGGGCCAUCGCUCAACGGAUAAAAGGUACUCCGGGGAUAACAGGCUGAUACCGCCCAAGAGUUCAUAUCGACGGCGGUGUUUGGCACCUCGAUGUCGGCUCAUCACAUCCUGGGGCUGAAGUAGGUCCCAAGGGUAUGGCUGUUCGCCAUUUAAAGUGGUACGCGAGCUGGGUUUAGAACGUCGUGAGACAGUUCGGUCCCUAUCUGCCGUGGGCGCUGGAGAACUGAGGGGGGCUGCUCCUAGUACGAGAGGACCGGAGUGGACGCAUCACUGGUGUUCGGGUUGUCAUGCCAAUGGCACUGCCCGGUAGCUAAAUGCGGAAGAGAUAAGUGCUGAAAGCAUCUAAGCACGAAACUUGCCCCGAGAUGAGUUCUCCCUGAGACUUAGAGUCUCCUGAAGGAACGUUGAAGACGACGACGUUGAUAGGCCGGGUGUGUAAGCGCAGCGAUGCGUUGAGCUAACCGGUACUAAUGAACCGUGAGGCUUAACCUUACA
rnacentral:rRNA from 1 species